rnacentral:tRNA from 1 species
GGGGGUAUAGUUUAGUGGUAGAGCAUUUGAUUGCAGAUCAAGAGGUCCCUGGAUCAACACCACCCCCA